AAUGAACGUUGGCGGCAUGGAUUAGGCAUGCAAGUCGAGCGAGAAGUGUAGCAAUACACGGAAAGCGGCGGAAGGGAGAGUAAUACGUGGGAAUCUGCCCUUAGACCUGGGAUAGCAGCGGGAAACUGCUGGUAAUACCAGAUAAUGUCUAUGGACCAAAGGUGUGAUUCCGUCUAGGGAUGAGCCCACGUCCUAUUAGCUAGUUGGUAGGGUAAUGGCCUACCAAGGCGAUGAUGGGUAGCGGGUGUGAGAGCAUGACCCGCCUCACUGGGACUGAGACACUGCCCAGACACCUACGGGUGGCUGCAGUCGAGAAUCUUCGGCAAUGGGCGCAAGCCUGACCGAGCGAUGCCGCGUGCGGGAUGAAGGCCUUCGGGUUGUAAACCGCUGUCGAGGGGGAGCAACUUCCAUAGAGUUAUCUUUAUGGAUUGAGUGAUCCCUGGAGGAAGGACGGGCUAAGUUCGUGCCAGCAGCCGCCGCCGUAA
rnacentral:rRNA from 1 species